UAGUCUACGCCGUAAACGAUGGAUACUAGUUGUUUGGUUUUCGGACUGAGUGACUAAGCGAAAGUGAUAAGUAUCCCACCUGGGGAGUACGUUCGCAAGAAUGAAACUCAAAGGAAUUGACGGGGGCCCGCACAAGCGGUGGAGCAUGUGGUUUAAUUCGAUGAUACGCGAGGAACCUUACCAGGGCUUAAAUGUAGUAUGACAGACUGAGAGAUCGGUUUUUCUUCGGACAUAUUACAAGGUGCUGCAUGGUUGUCGUCAGCUCGUGCCGUGAGGUGUCAGGUUAAGUCCUAUAACGAGCGCAACCCCUAUCUUCAGUUGCCAGCAAGUAAUGUUGGGGACUCUGGAGAGACUGCCGGCGUAAGCCGUGAGGAAGGUGGGGAUGACGUCAAAUCAUCAUGGGCCUUUAUACCCAGGGGCUACACACGUGCUACAAUGGCGCAUACAGAGGGCAACGAAACCGCGAGGUGGAGCAAAAUCCCAGAAAGUGCGUCCCAGUUCGGAUUGAAGU
rnacentral:rRNA from 1 species